UGGUCUGACAUUGCCUCAGUCUUUUGCCUUUUCCUUCUGCCCCCUUGACUUGAUUACCAUCUCCGAUUUUUUUUUUAUCUCUAGUUCACCCAUGCUAGAUGCCUCCCCUCACACACAUGCACCCUCCAAGACGUGUUUCAGUAAAGAACUUAAUUUAAAAUGCUUUGCUUUUGGAGUAACACAGGUGAGUCUGUGUUUUCUUGUUUUCUAGGGGCGGGGGGUAUUUGCAUUUCAAUCCUCAACUUCAAUUUUGUCUAGAAGAGCUACAUCUCUUCUUAAGGGUUUUUGGAAACUAAUUGGGAAAGGUGAUCUUUUCCCUUCAUCCAGAGAAGGGGGUAAUGAAUAAUAUUUGCCAUUGUCGUCAUCAUCAUCGUCAUCAUCAUCAUCAUCAUCAUCAUCAUCAUCAUCUUUAUCACCACUGUAUGCUUUCAAAGUUCUUUCAUAGGCACCACCUUUCCAAUACCAUAAGGUGGCAUUUUAAGCUGUCAGCUACUUCACUUACUUUUAAGGCUUGCUAUGGCUUUUGUAAAAAAUAUUCUAAGAACUCUCCUUGUUCCAACAUCCUACCACCCAUCGAUUCCAUAGAACGGGUUCCUGUAAUCUUAUCCUGUAAUCUAGUCCACAACCAUGACUACUUAUUUCCAUACGUCACCUCUUCCGUUUCUUUCAUCUGCCAGAGUUUUGCCAGAAAACGUGGCAGACUUCUGAAAAGGCACUUUUUCAAAGACCUGGAUGCCCGAGAAUACACCUCCCCUGGCAUCACUCUAGACGCGUGCAAAUCCGGAGCUUGAGGCUGGAGAGACUGAGAUUGAAAAUCCAAACUAAUGGAGACACAGAAAUAAGUGUGGUGCUAUCACUGCUUACCUCCGUCCUUCAUGUAAUACCCACACUGCUCAGGUCAAGAGAGGGACUCUCUGCUGCCGGCCUCUGAGAAGAUUCCUCCCUUUGUGAGUGGCCCCUGGUCUGUAUCUCCCAGCUCUGUACGUACGAGUUGAGUCACUUAACCUUUCUCAGCCUCGAUUUUCUCAUCUUGAAAAUGGUAAUAUAAUUGUACCUAUCUUACAGGGUUGUUAUAAGAAUUAAAUGAGGAAUUCAUAGAACAUGCACAACAUAAUGUCAGGUACAUGGCAAGCGUUCUUACACUCUUCUCCCCCUGAAGGUCCCUCCCCCGACUGAGUCAUUGGGAUUCUUAUAUCUGCAUCUUUUGCCCCUCCAUCACCUCGCACUCCAGGCUGAGGUUUGGGAUUUGGGGGUCUGGGCUGGCUGAGGAAGCAAGGGUGACUCCUUCCAAGAAAAACAGGAUGUGCAGCAAGCAGCAGCCAGACGUGAAACCAGAACAGAAGCCCCAGGUGAGAGACUAAGUAGGCAGAGAUAGAAUGUCAGAUAGGUAGCAGGGUGUGAGCCUGGCAAUCCCACUGGCGAUCCCCAACAGACAGAAGCAAGACAAUCCCAGAGCAAGAAGGUUGGGGUGGAGGGCAGGAAGCAGGACCUGGAGAGGCUUCCUGAGCAGCUGGAGGUCCUCUGGAGGGACCCUGAAAUAUGGAGGAGAAGAAGGCAGAAGCCAUGCUAGUGAGCGUGCAAUGGUAUCUCACUGUGAUUUUGAUUUACAUUCCCCUAUUGGCUAAUGAUGUUUAGCAUUUUUUCAUGUGCUUAUUGCCAUUUUAUACAUUCUUGAAAUGGCUAAUCAAAUCCUUUGCCCAUUUUUAAACUGGAUCGUCUUUUUAUGUUUAUGGAUUUUUUAUACUUAUAAGUCCCCUAUCAGAUAUAUGAUUUACAAGUAUUUUCUCUCAU
rnacentral:lncRNA from 12 species